AGCAGCCGCGGUAAUUCCAGCUCCAAUAGCGUAUAUUAAAGUUGUUGCAGUUAAAAAGCUCGUAGUUGAAUUUCGGGAUCAAGGAAUCGGUCAUGCCUUGGUAUGUACUGGUUUUAUUGGUUCUCACCUUCUAAAGAACCAUGAUGUCAUUCAUUUGAUGUUAUGGGGAAUUAGGACUGUUACCUUGAAAAAAUUAGAGUGUUUAAAGCAAGCUUACGCUUGAAUACAUUAGCAUGGAAUAAUGAAAUAGGACAUCAGAUUCUAUUUUGUUGGUUUCUAGGAUCGAUGUAAUGAUUAAUAGGGAUAGUUGGGGGCAUUAGUAUUCAAUUGUCAGAGGUGAAAUUCUUGGAUUUAUUGAAGACUAACUACUGCGAAAGCAUUUGCCAAGGAUGUUUUCAUUAAUCAAGAACGAAAGUUAGGGGAUCGAAGACGAUCAGAUACCGUCGUAGUCUUAACCAUAAACUAUGCCGACUAGGGAUCGGAUGAUGUUAAUUUUUAAUGACUCAUUCGG
rnacentral:rRNA from 1 species